rnacentral:rRNA from 1 species
GGGUUAAUUAACUUAUUUAAUUGUUUUUUAGGAUUAUAUGCCUUUUGCAUCAUGCUUAGUAGAGUUGAAGAUGAAUAUUUAAUUACCGAAAAACUCAGAUUUUAUUUAAUGUUGUUAAGAACUUAAGAUUAUUCGAGUUGAUUAGUUUAGAUGUUAAAUAGGUAGUGAAAUGUUAGUCGUUGAGUUUUAUAUCUGUUUAACUGUUGUAUUAUUUUAAUUAAUAUCUAAGGCGAUAAGGUUUUGGAUAGGUUUAUACUAGGUAUUUUGUAUUGUUAAAAUAAGGUUAAAGUUACCUUUUUUUAGAGAGUUUGUUAUAAAUUUUUGGUGUAGUAAAUGUUUAGUUAAUUGUUUUGCAGUUUAUUUAAUAUUUAGGAUUUAAAUAUUAUUAAAUAAGUAAUUAUAUUAUAGUUGUUAUUUCUAGAGUUUUGUCCGUCUGUUUAUUAAAAACAUUUCUAAGUUGUAGUAUACUUAGUAAAACCUGCUCAAUGCUUAUGUUAAUAGCCGCAGUAUUUUGACUGUGCAAAGGUAGCAUAAUUAAUUGUCUCAUAAUUGGGGACUUGUUUGAAUGGUUAGACGUGGUAAUAAUGAAUAUCUGUUAUUUUUUUGAAAUUAUUUUUGUAGUUUAGAAACUACAAGGUUUAGUUAGACGGAAAGACCCCGGGAUCUUUUAAUUUUGCCUGGGGCAGGUUUUUGUUUUUCACUUUAAUUGUGUUCCUAUUAUUAUUAGAUUAUUGGUUUAAGUUACCCCGGGGAUAACAGUGUAAUAAUUAAUGAAAGAUCAUAUUGAGUUAAUUGAUUGCCACCUCGAUGUUGACUUAGGUUUAAAUCUGUAGGCGCAGUAGUUUAUGGUUUGGGUCUGUUCGACCUUAGUUACCUUCAUGAGUUGAGUUAAGACCGGCGUAAGCCAGGUCGGUUCUUAUCUACUGUGGUGGCUUAUUAGUACGAAAGGAUUGUAAGCCUUUUUAUA